CAUUUUAUUUAUAUAGGAGGGCGGUCCAGCUGAUCGACGAUCACCUCCGUCGAGGGCAUCGUCGCCACCAUUGGCAUCACCUCCGUCGAGAGUAUCGUCCCCGUCAUUGGCAUCACCUCCGUCGAGGGCAUCACCGCCGCUAGUGGCAUCACCUCCGCCGGGGCCAUUGCCGCCGCCAUUGGCAUCACCUCCGUCCAGACACCUCCCCCGUGUGUCUCCGGGGCAUAGUGAUGAUUUGUAUGCCCGUUUGACUGAAUUUAUAGCGGAGGAGGUCGGCGCGCUACGACGAUAUUUGACGGAGAGGGUCGAUGAUCUGGGACGAGAGUUGACAGGGAAGGUCGACGAUCUGGCAGGUAGGGUUGACUAUCUGACAAGGAGGGUCGACGAUAUGGGACGAGAGUUGACAAGGAGGGUUGACGAUCUAUCCCAUGAUGUUGGAAUA
rnacentral:lncRNA from 1 species